rnacentral:lncRNA from 1 species
AAAUUAAAAUCCAAACACACAUAAAUCAGAAUAAUUCAGAUCUUCCGUGAAAUUAAAAUUCAAACACACAUAAAUCCAAACCUAGAUUUUUUUCUUCUUCUUUUCACAUAAUAAAAUCCAAACUCUCACAGAAUAACGAAUCUGGCUCAGAUUUAUGGCUUUGUAAAGUACUUCACGGUUUACAUCUCAACCACUAAGUUAUUGUAAUUGAUAUACAUCUCUCCUUUAGAAGCUUUCAAAAUAAUUUUUUCUUCUUCUCAUCACAGAUCCAGAAUUCACCACCAUCACUCACUUGAGCAACCAAACAAACACAAUUUCCAUUGUUUUUUGAAAAAGAAUUUCAAACACACAGAACAUAAUCAAAAUAACAGAUUGAGGAGUAGUGGUAGUAUUGUUGAUCAAGGUUUGAUUUUGGUUCAGAUCUGAUUUUGAUGAUGAAGUGUCAUGUUGUUGUUGUUGAUUUUAUUUAUUUUUACUGAAACUGAUAAUGUUGAAACGAUGAUGAAGAAUGAGGGGAGGUAGAAGAUGAAGCAAAUCAGUUUGUGGUGGUUCACACUGAUAGAUACAAUAGACCUUCAAGAUCUAACGGUGU